CCAGUCAACGGAAUCUCUUAUGUGUGCAUUAGAUUAGAGAAUGCAUUUGUUCCUGAUAUCUUUUCUUCUUGGUUUCAAGGAUGUAUUGCUGAGCGAGCAGUCAUCUUGUCAGAUGAUACAAGAAACUAUUAAGUAUGUGCCUACAUGUCCCCACAAUAAAAAUGAGUGGUUUCUAGCAGCGGAGAACAAAAACUGCAGUCAAUACAGUAAAGGAUGUAAAGAGAAAUUGGUUUAUCACUGCGUUCCUAACCACUAUGAAAAUGCUACUUUAGAAGUUUGUGUGCCGGUGACAUUAAUUGUUUUUGGGCAUUGUUUAGAAUACAGCUUCCUCGGAAAAAGGGUUCAAGCAAACCACAACACUGAAUGCAAAAC